GUGGGGAAUUUUGGACAAUGGGCGCAAGCCUGAUCCAGCAAUGCCGCGUGCAGGAAGAAGGCCUUCGGGUUGUAAACUGCUUUUGUACGGAACGAAACGGUCCGGGUUAAUACCCUGGGCUAAUGACGGUACCGUAAGAAUAAGCACCGGCUAACUACGUGCCAGCAGCCGCGGUAAUACGUAGGGUGCAAGCGUUAAUCGGAAUUACUGGGCGUAAAGCGUGCGCAGGCGGUUUUGUAAGACAGGCGUGAAAUCCCCGGGCUCAACCUGGGAAUUGCGCUUGUGACUGAAAGGCUGGAGUGCGGCAGAGGGGGAUGGAAUUCCGCGUGUAGCAGUGAAAUGCGUAGAUAUGUGGAGGAACACCGAUGGCGAAGGCAAUCCCCUGGGCCUGCACUGACGCUCAUGCACGAAAGCGUGGGGAGCAAACAGGAUUAGAAACCCCAGUAGUCC
rnacentral:rRNA from 1 species